CCUACGGGAGGCAGCAGUGGGGGAUAUUGGACAAUGGGGGGAACCCUGAUCCAGCGACACCGCGUGAGUGAAGAAGUAUUUCGGUAUGUAAAGCUCUGUCAGCAGGGAAGAAAGAAAUGACGGUACCUGACCAAGAAGCCCCGGCUAACUACGUGCCAGCAGCCGCGGUAAUACGUAGGGGGCAAGCGUUAUCCGGAAUUACUGGGUGUAAAGGGAGCGUAGACGGUUAAGUAAGUCUGGAGUGAAAGGCCGGGGCGCAACCCCGGGACUGCUCUGGAAACUAUUGAAAUUGAGUGCAGGAGAGGUAAGCGGAAUUCCUAGUGUAGCGGUGAAAUGCGUAGAUAUUAGGAGGAACACCAGUGGCGAAGGCGGCUUACUGGACUGUAACUGACGUUGAGGCUCGAAAGCGUGGGGAGCAAACAGGAUUAGAUACCCGAGUAGUC
rnacentral:rRNA from 1 species